rnacentral:misc_RNA from 1 species
ACAAAUUUUAUAUCUGUUCAAAAUAAAACAUAUUUUACGUUUAUGUGGCGAAAGUUUAAUUAAAAAUUUAACUAUUUUAGUACGCUGCCAUGUCAAAGCCAUCGAUAUUAAUCAUAGAACCGUUUUAUGGAGGUAGUCACAAGCAGCUGAUCGAUACAAUCAUCGAGUGCUUAAACAUCUGUGACUAUGAAAUAUUUAGUCUUCCCGCAAAGAAAUGGCAUUGGCGUGCGCGUACCGGCGCCUUAUACUUCUCACAAAUCAUACCGGUGGAUCAUGAAUACAAAGUGCUUUUUACCAGCUCAGUGUUGAACUUGGCUGAGCUUUUAGGUGUACGUCCAGAUUUGGUUAGUUGUAAAAAGAUUGUUUAUUUUCACGAAAAUCAAUUAGUCUAUCCAGUGCGUGAAGUGAAGGAGCGCGACUGUCAAUAUGGUUUGAACCAAAUACUAACAUGCCUUUCUGCCGACAAUAUAAUCUUCAAUUCGAAUUUCAACCGCACAUCCUUCCUGGACAGCAUUACACCGUUUCUCAACAUCCAACCCGAUUUUAAAUUGAAACACAUACGCGAUAAAAUUGAGAAAAAAUGUGAAGUUCUCUACUAUCCUAUUAAAUUCCACGCCUUCCCCAAUAAACGACUGAUGAUUGGCGGUGCGGAGCCAUCGCUAACCGCACUGAUGAGUGAUAAAGACUGUUUGCAUCUGAUUUGGCCACAUCGCUGGGAGCACGAUAAGAACCCAAAGCUGUUGGUGGAGGUACUUUUGGAGUUGAACAAGCGCCAAGUGGACUUUAAGGUGACAAUAUGUGGCGAAAACUAUCAGGCAGCACCAGAGUCCUUCGACGGCUUACAAGAUAAGCUGGGUGCCAAGCUAAUAAAUUUCGGUUUCUUGCCGCGUGAUAAGUACAUAAAAACAUUGUUGUCUGGUGAUGUUGUAAUCUCGACGGCGGGUCAUGAAUUCUAUGGUGUAGCUAUGCUUGAAGCCACGUACUGCGGCUGUAUGCCGAUAGCGCCGAAUAAACUCGUCUACCCGGAAAUAUACCCCAAAGAAAACCUCUACAACACUUCCAAUCAGCUGAUUAAAAUGCUCUACAAUUGGUGUCGCAAUCCGGAAUUGUUUCGGCGUCAAAGAGACACAUUUUUUGAAUAUUUUACAUUCGAUCGCUACUCAGCGCAACAUUUAGUGCCUAAAUUCCUAGAGAAAUUGCGCAUUUAAUGACGCACUUCCUUCACUUGCCAGUUUAUAGGUUUUGUGCAAUAUCUGGCGAAGCAAAAAUUAUCAUAUACCAUACAUGCAAGUUGUAUAACAAUAUUCGAAUGCAAAGCGAUCUAAAACUGUGGCGAAAAUCAUAGAUCAACUAAAAACUAUGUUAAUAGAUGUAAAUUAGCAGCCUGAAAGAUUUACAAGAAAAAUUUACAUAGAGAAAAAUUAGCUUACAAAUUGAUAUACAUACAUACAUAUAUGUAUGUAUAUAUUUUUAUCCUAUUACAGGGUAGGUAAAACUCGAUCAUUGAAAUUUGUUAAACUACUUAGAUUUUGCUUUGGUGAAAAUUAAAACGAAUAUAUCAAUAAUUUUACAGUUAAAGUUUAAUAUAUGUAAUUGUUUGUUGUUUUCAAAGCAUAUACAACUGUUCAAAUCAUAUCUUUAAAAUAUAGUUAUGCAAUAUGCUAAGCUAUUAUAAAGUAAUUAUAGCAAAAUCAUUCAUCGUUUAGAAGUUUUAUACGUGCUUUUGAUUUUUUACUCCCCAUUGUUUUAAUACCAGCUUACCGAAUAAUACAAAUAAAUAUAUGUUACAUGUCUGUACCAAUAAAAUGUGCGAAUACACAAAAACAAACAUAAAA